GAUGAACGCUGGCGGCGUGCCUAAUACAUGCAAGUCGAGCGAACAGACGAGGAGCUUGCUCCUCUGACGUUAGCGGCGGACGGGUGAGUAACACGUGGAUAACCUACCUAUAAGACUGGGAUAACUUCGGGAAACCGGAGCUAAUACCGGAUAAUAUAUUGAACCGCAUGGUUCAAUAGUGAAAGACGGUUUUGCUGUCACUUAUAGAUGGAUCCGCGCCGCAUUAGCUAGUUGGUAAGGUAACGGCUUACCAAGGCGACGAUGCGUAGCCGACCUGAGAGGGUGAUCGGCCACACUGGAACUGAGACACGGUCCAGACUCCUACGGGAGGCAGCAGUAGGGAAUCUUCCGACCUGGCCGAAAGCCUGACGGAGCGACGCCGCGUGAGUGAUGAAGGUCUUCGGAUCGUAAAACUCUGUUAUUAGGGAAGAACAAAUGUGUAAGUAACUAUGCACGUCUUGACGGUACCUAAUCAGAAAGCCACGGCUACAUACGUG
rnacentral:rRNA from 1 species